rnacentral:rRNA from 1 species
UACGUAGGGGGCAAGCGUUAUCCGGAUUUACUGGGUGUAAAGGGAGCGCAGACGGCAGUGCAAGUCUGAUGUGAAAGCCCGGGGCUCAACCCCGGAACUGCAUUGGAAACUGCACAGCUCGAGUGUCGGAGGGGUAAGCGGAAUUCCUAGUGUAGCGGUGAAAUGCGUAGAUAUUAGGAGGAACACCGGUGGCGAAGGCGGCUUACUGGACGAUGACUGACGUUGAGGCUCGAAAGCGUGGGGAGCAAAC